rnacentral:rRNA from 1 species
UACGGGGGGGGCAAGCGUUGUUCGGAAUUACUGGGCGUAAAGGGCUCGUAGGCGGCCAACUAAGUCAGACGUGAAAUCCCUCGGCUUAACCGGGGAACUGCGUCUGAUACUGGAUGGCUUGAGGUUGGGAGAGGGAUGCGGAAUUCCAGGUGUAGCGGUGAAAUGCGUAGAUAUCUGGAGGAACACCGGUGGCGAAGGCGGCAUCCUGGACCAAAACUGACGCUCAGGCACGAAAGCGUGGGGAGCAAACAGG